rnacentral:tRNA from 1 species
GGCCCUGUCGUCUAGUGGCCUAGGACACUGCCCUUUCAAGGCAGGAACCGGAGUUCGAAUCUCCGCAGGGUCA